CCUACGGGAGGCAGCAGUGAGGAAUAUUGGUCAAUGGGCGCAAGCCUGAACCAGCCAAGUAGCGUGAGGGAUGAAGGCCCUACGGGUCGUAAACCGCUUUUGCACAGGAAUAACACCCUGCACGUGUGGGUUUCUGCAUGUACCUUACGAAUAAGGACCGGCUAACUCCGUGCCAGCAGCCGCGGUAAUACGGAGGGUCCGGGCGUUAUCCGGAUUUAUUGGGUUUAAAGGGAGCGUAGGCGGGAUGUCAAGCCAGCUGUGAAAUGUCUGGGCUCAACCGGGGACUUGCAGUGGGAACUGGCGGGCUUGAGUCCGGGGGAAGCAGGCGGAAUUCGUGGUGUAGCGGUGAAAUGCUUAGAUAUGACGAAGAACCCCGAUUGCGAAGGCAGCUUGCUGAAGUGGAACUGACGCUGAUGCUCGAAAGCGUGGGUAUCGAACAGGAUUAGAUACCCGAGUAGUC
rnacentral:rRNA from 1 species